rnacentral:sRNA from 1 species
CGCAUUUGCAUUUAGCGUUUCAUUUUUCUUCUCACAUAUUUAUUUGUUUGCUUUUUUUAAGCGUUUUGUUACGCUUCACAUUUACGUGUUGAUUGCUCGUUCCAGCACACAGAGCGAAACUUGUUUUGCAAAAUGCCAUUCAAAUGCUCGCAGCAGUCUGAAUCUUGGCCCAUCUAAUAACUUAAUUUCUGUUGUUGUUUCCCAAGGCAUCAAAUCCGAAGGCGACAAAAUGUUUACCACCGUCAUUUUUUGCCCCCACUUUCGGCAGUCAGCAAGG